GCAUGUUAAUGUUCGCAUUAGAUUCAAAGUGCAGCUGAGCCCAAACAGCCCAGCGCUUUGUUACAGACAUGAAACAUGAAUUUGCGUGAUCGUCAAGGAUCUUUGCAUUUCUGAGACAGCUUCGGUGUUUCUAGUAUUAUUGAUAUUCCCAUCAGACUUUCCUUCAAUCAGAAUCAUGUUCUAUAAUUAUAUGAAUGCUUAUAUAAAUGUAUUCUGUUCAAUCUUGUACAUGCUGCAAGGAGAAAUGCUAUUUGGCACAGCAGUGAAAGGGAACAAGUGUGCAAAGCUAUACAAAAAGUAGCAGUGUGAGGUGGCGGCCUCUUGUGGCCUUAGUAAAUAUUACGAAGUAAAGGAGGAAGUAGGAUAAAGAGCAAGAAAAUCCAGAUCAGGAUAACAGGGACAGAUGGGUGGGCACAGGAACUUUCAGCCAAGAGUCAAGUGACCAGUGUGAGCCCCCAAAGUAAAGGAAUUUUUACAAGCAGGACCAUUAGAGAAGAGACCCCGAAGGACGAGCCAGAACAAGCUGCUGUCAAUAUGAUGAUACCCAGGAAGUCGCAGCACCCCAGCUAAUCUACCCUCUAUGUGCGGCUGCCACAACUGAGUUGACAACGUUGCACUGACGCUGACAAAGAAGACCCAUUUUCCUUAUGGAGAGGAGCCAACACUGCUCAAUACCAGGGAGGCGGUGGAUUUAUCAGAUGACACAUGCAGAGCAACAGCUGCAAACACGCCGCCACAUUUGCACUAACAAGUACUUCCUACACAUUAGCUUAACUA